UCCCUAGUAGCUCAGAGGUUAAAGCAUCUGCCUGCAAUGCGGGAGACCUGGGUUCGAUCCCUGGGUUGGGAA
rnacentral:tRNA from 1 species